GCGGACGGGUGAGUAACACGUGGGCAACCUACCUAUAAGACUGGGACAACUUCGGGAAACCGGAGCUAAUACCGGAUGACACAAAGGAACUCCUGUUCCUUUGUUGAAAGAUGGCUUCGGCUAUCACUUAUAGAUGGGCCCGCGGCGCAUUAGCUAGRUGGUGAGGUAACGGCUCACCAAGGCGACGAUGCGRASCCRACCUGAGAGGGUGAUCGGCCACACUGGGACUGAGACACGGCCCARACUCCUACGGGAGGCAGCAGUAGGGAAUCUUCCGCAAUGGACGAAAGUCUGACGGAGCAACGCCGCGUGAACGAUGAAGGCCUUCGGGUCGYAAAGUUCUGUUGUUAGGGAAGAACAAGUGCUAGUUAAAUAAGCUGGCACCUUGACGGUACCUAACCAGAAAGCCACGGCUAACUACGUGCCAGCAGCCGCGGUAAUACGUAGGUGGCAAGCGUUGUCCGGAAUUAUUGGGCGUAAAGCGCGCGCAGGCGGUUUCUUAAGUCUGAUGUGAAAGCCCCCGGCUCAACCGGGGAGGGUCAUUGGAAACUGGGAAACUUGAGUGCAGAAGAGGAAAGUGGAAUUCCAAGUGUAGCGGUGAAAUGCGUAGAGAUUUGGAGGAACACCAGUGGCGAANGCGACUUUCUGGUCUGUAACUGACGCUGAGGCGCGAAAGCGUGGGGAGCAAACAGGAUUAGAUACCCUGGUAGUCCACGCUGU
rnacentral:rRNA from 1 species